GACGGGCCCGCACAAGCAGCGGAGCGUGUGGUUUAAUUCGAUGCUACACGAAGAACCUUACCAGGGUUUGACAUACAAGUAGUAGGGAAAGGAAACUGGACCGACCCUUCGGGGAGCUUGUACAGGUGCUGCAUGGCUGUCGUCAGCUCGUGUCGUGAGAUGUUCGGUUAAGUCCGCUAACGAGCGCAACCCUCGCUGUGUGUUACAAGUGUCACACGGAACUGCCGGUCAUAAACCGGAGGAAGGUGGGGAUGCGUCAAGUCAGCAUGGCCUUUAUAUCCUGGGCUACACACACGCUACAAUGGGAAGGGACAAUAGGUUGCGAAGCCGCGAGGCGGAGCCAAUCCAGCAAAACUUCCCUCAGUUCAGAUUGCAGGCUGCAACUCGCCUGCAUGAAGUUGGAGUUGCUAGUAAACGCAGGUCAGCCAUACUGCGUUGAAUACGUUCCGGGGCUU
rnacentral:rRNA from 1 species